rnacentral:rRNA from 1 species
UAGGGAAUCUUCCGCAAUGGGCGCAAGCCUGACGGAGCAACGCCGCGUGAGCGAGGACGGCCUUCGGGUUGUAAAGCUCUGUUCUUCGGGAAGAAGGGCGGGAGGGAGAAUACUCUUCCGCUUGACGGUACCGAAGGAGAAAGCCCCGGCUAACUACUUG